GGGCAGGUCUGCACGGUAGAGCGCCGUGAACCAUGUCAGGCGGGGAACCGAGCAGCAUUAAGCGGAGUGCUUUUCGCGAUGCAGGUCGCCUGUCCGCC
rnacentral:SRP_RNA from 1 species